rnacentral:rRNA from 1 species
AGCAGCCGCGGUAAUUCCAGCUCCAAUAGCGUAUAUUAAAGUUGUUGCAGUUAAAAAGCUCGUAGUUGAAUUUCGGGGUCAGUAGGUUGGUCAUGCCACUGGUAUGUACUGAUCUUACUGAUUCCUCCUUCCUGAUGAACCGUAAUGCCAUUAAUUUGGUGUUGCGGGGAGACUGGACUGUUACUUUGAAAAAAUUAGAGUGUUUAAAGCAGGCUAACGCUUGAAUGCAUUAGCAUGGAAUAAUGAAAUAGGACGUUCGAUCCUAUUUUGUUGGUUUCUAGGAUUGACGUAAUGAUUAAUAGGGAUAGUUGGGGGCAUUAGUAUUCAAUUGUCAGAGGUGAAAUUCUUGGAUUUAUUGAAGACUAACUACUGCGAAAGCAUUUGCCAAGGAUGUUUUCAUUAAUCAAGAACGAAAGUUAGGGGAUCGAAGACGAUCAGAUACCGUCGUAGUCUUAACCAUAAACUAUGCCGACUAGGGAUCGGAUGAUGUUAAUUUUUUAAUGACUCAUUCGGCGCCUUACG